UUCGCAAUGCCCGAAAGGGUGACGAAGCGACGCCGCGUGCGGGAAGAAGGCCUUCGGGUUGUAAACCGCUGUCGGGAGUUAGGAAAUGCAAGGAUGUUAAUAGCGUCUUUGCUUGACUAAGGCUCCGGAGGAAGCCACGGCUAACUCUGUGCCAGCAGCCGCGGUAAUACAGAGGCGGCAAGCGUUGUUCGGAAUUAUUGGGCGUAAAGAGCACGUAGGCGGCCGUGUAAGUCGGUUGUGAAAGCCUUCCGCUCAACGGGAGAACGGCAUCCGAUACUGCAUGGCUCGAGUGCGGGAGGGGAGAGUGGAACUUCUGGUGGAGCGGUGAAAUGCGUAGAUAUCAGAAGGAACACCGGCGGCGAAGGCGACUCUCUGGCCCGUAACUGACGCUGAGUGUGCGAAAGCUAGGGGAGCAAACGGGAUUAGAUACCCCGGUAGUCCUAGCCGUAAACGAUGGGCACUAAGUAGAGGGGUUUU
rnacentral:rRNA from 2 species